GCUACGGGGGGCAGCAGUGAGGAAUAUUGGUCAAUGGACGCAAGUCUGAACCAGCCAUGCCGCGUGCAGGAUGACGGCUCUAUGAGUUGUAAACUGCUUUUGUACGAGGGUAAACCCCGAUACGUGUAUCGGGUUGAAAGUAUCGUACGAAUAAGGAUCGGAUAACUCCGUGCCAGCAGCCGCGGUAAUACGGGGGAUCCGAGCGUUAUCCGGAUUUAUUGGGGUGAAAGGGUGAGUAGGCGGGUUGAUAAGUUAGAGGUGAAAUGUCGGGGGUCAACCCCGGAACUGGCGGUAGUACUGUUGGACUAGUGAGUAGGUGCGGUAGGCGGGAUGUAUGGUGUAGGGGUGAAAUGCUUAGAG
rnacentral:rRNA from 1 species